GAUGAACGCUGGCGGCGUGCCUAAUACAUGCAAGUCGAGCGAACAGACGAGGAGCUUGCUCCUCUGAUGUUAGCGGCGGACGGGUGAGUAACACGUGGAUAACCUACCUAUAAGACUGGGAUAACUUCGGGAAACCGGAGCUAAUACCGGAUAACAUGUUGAACCGCAUGGUUCAACAGUGAAAGACGGUCUUGCUGUCACUUAUAGAUGGAUCCGCGCCGCAUUAGCUAGUUGGUAAGGUAACGGCUUACCAAGGCAACGAUGCGUAGCCGACCUGAGAGGGUGAUCGGCCACACUGGAACUGAGACACGGUCCAGACUCCUACGGGAGGCAGCAGUAGGGAAUCUUCCGCAAUGGGCGAAAGCCUGACGAAGCAACGCCGCGUGAGUGAAGAAGGUCUUCGGAUCGUAAAACUCUGUUAUUAGGGAAGAACAAAUGUGUAAGUAACUAUGCACGUCUUGACGGUACCUAAUCAGAAAGCCACGGCUAACUACGUG
rnacentral:rRNA from 1 species